rnacentral:rRNA from 1 species
UUCGCUAAGGGAUCAGUCUAUGUCCUAUCAGCUAGUUGGUGAGGUAAUGGCUCACCAAGGCUAUGACGGGUAUCUGGUUUGAGAGGAUGAUCAGACACACUGGAACUGAGACACGGUCCAGACUCCUACGGGAGGCAGCAGUGAGGAAUAUUGCACAAUGGAGGAAACUCUGAUGCAGCAACGCCGCGUGGAGGAUGACGCAUUUCGGUGUGUAAACUCCUUUUAAGAGGGAAGAUUAUGACGGUACCUCUUGAAUAAGCACCGGCUAACUCCGUGCCAGCAGCCGCGGUAAUACGGGGGGUGCAAGCGUUACUCGGAAUCACUGGGCGUAAAGGGUGCGUAGGCUGGCUUUUAAGUCAGAUGUGAAAUCCAAUGGCUUAACCAUUGAACUGCAUUUGAAACUGGGAGCCUAGAGUUCAGAAGGGGCAGAUGGAAUUAGUGGUGUAGGGGUAAAAUCCGUAGAUAUCACUAGGAAUAUCAAAAGCGAAGGCGAUCUGCUGGGAUGAUACUGACGCUGAGG